GAAAUGUCUUGUCCACUGAAAGAUUUUCAUACGUUAUGUCAUUUAUAUCAUCUUGUUAUACCACGCUCUUCAACUUUGUACUUGUUUGGCUUUAUACAUAUUUUGAUAAGAGCGUCACUGAUGUAGACGAAACGCGCGUCUGGCGUACUAAAUCAUAACCCUCGUACCUUUGAUAACUAUUAUCAACAUUGUCGAUUCGGGACGUUAUUUAUGGUGAAUCAUCUGUAUAUAUUUCCUCAGAUAUAAUUGUCUUGAUAGUCAGAUGUACUUUCAGCAAGACCACAAAGUAAUAAAAAAAAAUCCGAUGACUGAAGUUGUUCGUUUCUAGAUGAGGUUAAGUUGUGAAAAAAUUGUGUAUAACGAGAAGAUAAAAAAUCGUCUUUUUCACAUUUUCAAAUUUGGGAAGCGCAAAAGUGCGAGUUUUUAUUUCAUUGCAAUAAGAUUCAUAUGUAUAUAACUUGAAAAUGAAAAUACAAUUGGGCCUGAAGCGUGGCUAUAUACCUCUCCAUAUUAUACAAAGCAUGUAAACAUAUGAGAUGAAUAUAAUUAAUCUUUUUUUUUCUGACAAUUUUUUCAUUUCUUAAUCUAAUUGUUCCGUUAUUUAAGAAAGUAAAGUGAAUUUUAUUAGCAAGACCCGUUUAACUUGUAGUUCCCGGCAAACUUUUUUUUAAUCAAGGAAAAAUAUAUAUCAUCUUCCUUUUUGGAUCUAAAUGGGGAAACAUUGCAUUUUAUUACGUUUUAUUUUAAUUGGUCUCUGGUAGAGAGAUGUCUCAUUGGCACUCAUCAUACCGUAUAUAUCAACUCAUUUUACAUCGACUUAUACCAAAAUACGAUAUAAUUUGUUGUUUGUUGCUUUCUUUACUUUCAGUGGUAAAUAUUUCAUGCAUAUUCAGUUCAACCAAACAUUAAGAAGUAUCCAUAUUGAGGUGCAAACAAAAAUUGCAAGCACAAUAAAAAAUAUCCCCAAUAAUUAUUAAUCGCCGUAUAAAUUUGACGUGACCAUUUGGGACGCAAUAUCGUGCGUAAUGUCAUUGUCAUUUCAUUAAGUCAUGCUGAUAAAAAUACUACUUUAGGAAACAAUGUGCCAAUGAUUGAAUUAAGUAGUGUCAACCCUGUGAGUAUGACCCGUGUAUAUAUCAAAUCCUACAUACACCGUUUAGUUGUGCGCCUGGCAGGUGCGGAACGUGCAGAAAAAUUAAUAACAUGUGAAAUAUAAUGUCAUGAGUAAAAGGAAAAUCGCUUCGGAUAGUUCCGGAACUUAAAUUUGUCUAAUUGUUUAGUGUUUGAAACAGUAAUCGACGUAAGAGGGUAAACUUUUCAGUAUACCCUAUCACGUAUAUAUAUACCCUUACAUAAGUUUGAUUUGUAGCUUUCUUCGGUUAUACGUUUUUUAGCCGAGC
rnacentral:lncRNA from 1 species